AUACGGAGGGUGCAAGCGUUAUUCGGAAUCACUUGGCGUAAAGGACGCGUAGGCGGGUUGGCAAGUCAGAUGUGAAAUCCUACAGCUCAACUGUAGAACUGCAUUUGAAACUGCUAACCUAGAGUAUGGGAGGGGGAGAUGGAAUUAGUGGUGUAGGGGUAAAAUCCGUAGAUAUCACUAGGAAUACCGAAAGCGAAGGCGAUCUCCUGGAACAUAACUGACGCUAAGGCGUGAAAGCGUGGGGAGCAAACAGGAUUAGAUACCCUAGUAGUCC
rnacentral:rRNA from 1 species